UCGCUCCCGGCCAGGUACGGACCGCGGAGAGGAACUUCCGGACUCCACAAGGCAAUGCGCCGUUUGAAAAAACGGGACGGUGAAGCCAUAUCUUCACCGGACGGAAAGUGCCACAGAAAAUAAACCGCCCGCAAGGGUAAGGAUGAAAAGGUGCGGUAAGAGCGCACCGCAUGCCGGGCAACCGGCAUGGCAAGGUAAACCCCGCAUGGAGCAAGGCCAAGCCGGUCCACAUGUCGCCUGCAUUCGUGACCAAGUAGGCCGCUUAGAGUAAUGAUUAUCACAAUCCGCAAGGAUUGACAGAAUCCGGGGUAUGGG
rnacentral:RNase_P_RNA from 1 species